rnacentral:lncRNA from 1 species
AUUCCCAUUGUUGUGAAGGGGCGUGUAAGUAUAUUUGCACUCAGACAGCUUCAGAAGUGCUUGCCUGAUGAAAAGGACUCACCAAGAGCUGAAGAGUUUGGCAUCACAGUCCAAGUGGUUCCUUGUUGGCAAUGGCCAUUGUCAUCAUAAGGCUGGAUUUAACUUCAGAAGUACUGCAUGCCAUCUGGCUCCAAAGAGCAAAUCUAUUUUUAUAAUAUCAAAUUUGCAAUAAGGGAAAACUACAAACAUGCUCAGAGUUGGAUGAGCUUCCAUUUUUAACAUGACUGACUUUCACCAGUCUUCCUGGGGGCCCCAAACUGGGUGGGCUCUUUUCCUCUGCUCCAGGCCUUAUCUGUGUUAGGUUGUAUGAUUAGGAUCCUAAAGUCACUGAACAAACAGGGUAGGAGUCUCCAUAACAGACCUUUUGUUCAUAUACAUUUCACUGGCUUUCGCUGGAGAAGUCAGAGAAUGGCUAUCAUCUCCACACUAAUAAUAUCCUUCAGUAAAUGAUAAAGUCAAGUCCAAAGUAAACUGAGAAGCUUUAUCAGCAUGUCAAAGCUAUCCCCUUACAGCUCUGUACUUGCCAACUGUGCAUCCUUUUCCGAGACAAAGACUUGAUGCACAUUAAAAGGCACUUACCAGAGUGGGUGUUUGUUUGCCAAAGGAGAGCAGGCUGCCCUCUGAUUCCAGGCACCCCGGUCGUCACUCUCAUCAGAGGAAGGGAGGUAUACUUUACAGCUAGACUCCUUCCUUGAUGAUCUCCUGAAUCGAGUCAGGGGGAGAUUCAGAGCUUCCUGCCAAGUUAUUCCUUCUCUUUCUCCUUGUUAAUAUUAACUGAUGGACUUCUCAGAGGGACAGUGUAUUUCUCACUGUGAGUAGAGAGAACGCUGUGGUCGACCAGUUACUCUUCCACCCUGUUGUCAGAGAAGAUGCAUCAAAAGGGAUUUACACACCCAGUUAAUUCUAACAGAUGGCCCUUCCCCGGUAUUCUGAGAGAAGUUGAAAAUCAAUCCACAUUUCUCUCCAAUUCCAAAUUAGGCAAAUUAGCACACUGGCCUUGAUUUUUGGUAAGCAGAUUUAGCAAAAUGGACACAGUGAAAAAGAGGAAAGAUGUAAAAAAUUUAGAAAGGCCUAUCUCACUUAAAAUGCUGUGCCUCUGCCCAUACGUUUGAUAUACAAAUGAUGC